AGGACGAACGCUGGCGGCGUGCUUAACACAUGCAAGUCGAACGGUGAUCCCCUUCGGGGGUGAUCAGUGGCGAACGGGUGAGUAACACGUGAGCAACCUGCCCCUGACUCUGGGAUAACCCCGGGAAACCGGAGCUAAUACCGGAUAUGACGCGCUCGGGCAUCCGAUGCGUGUGGAAAGAUUUAUCGGUCAGGGAUGGGCUCGCGGCCUAUCAGCUUGUUGGUGGGGUAAUGGCCCACCAAGGCGACGAC
rnacentral:rRNA from 1 species